GAGAGUUUAGUUAAAAUAACAUCAGAUUGUCAAACUGAAGUAAUCAUAUACUUGAUAACUCUCC
rnacentral:tRNA from 1 species